GCCAGCAGUGUGGAUAUAACAUCCUUCAAGUAAAAGCAAUGAAGAGGAGGAACAUGUCGUCCUCACUUCCUGCUAUUCUGGCCAUAAUGUUCUUGACACUCAUCGUCUUCUGCAACCACCUGGUUUCCGCAAAUCUCAAACUUGGACGAAAGCUUGCACAAGUUCCAGAUCCAGUAACGUACCCUGCUUACCCAGGUGGAGGAGGAUACAGUACUCCAACACCGCCAUAGCCAUGCUUCGCUCCUUCAUUAAGCCUCGCAGAUUACUCUUUCAUUUAUCCCUAAUUAAACAUUAUACUCUUGUAUUCCAGUAAUAAUGGCAUCCCUGUGAUCCGUUUGCGCUU